GAUGAACGCUGGCGGCGUGCCUAAUACAUGCGAGUCGAGCGAACGGACGAGAAGCUUGCUUCUCUGAUGUUAGCGGCGGACGGGUGAGUAACACGUGGAUAACCUACCUAUAAGACUGGGAUAACCUCGGGAAACCGGAGCUAAUACCGGAUAAUAUUUUGAACCGCAUGGUUCAAAAGUGAAAGACGGUCUUGCUGUCACUUAUAGAUGGAUCCGCGCUGCAUUAGCUAGUUGGUAAGGUAACGGCUUACCAAGGCAACGAUGCAUAGCCGACCUGAGAGGGUGAUCGGCCACACUGGAACUGAGACACGGUCCAGACUCCUACGGGAGGCAGCAGUAGGGAAUCUUCCGCAAUGGGCGAAAGCCUGACGGAGCAACGCCGCGUGAGUGAUGAAGGUCUUCGGAUCGUAAAACUCUGUUAUUAGGGAAGAACAUAUGUGUAAGUAACUGUGCACAUCUUGACGGUACCUAAUCAGAAAGCCACGGCUAACUACGUG
rnacentral:rRNA from 1 species